rnacentral:lncRNA from 10 species
GUCACAGCUGUACUCCUGCUACUAGCCCGUCCCCCAGGGUCACCAUCUUUAAUUCUUUUCCUUCUUUUCUUUGGAGAGGCACAAGGAGAAUUUAAGGGUCCAUGGAUUCAGUCUUGCUCCUUGUAAUUAAACUGCAGGAUGGAGGAACAGCCUGAGAUAUGAGCAUGAGCCCAUUUUGGGGAACCCUAAGUAUAGACCUCUGCUGCUCAUCAGGAAACUUACUGGAGAUGAAGGCCCCAGCUGUUGUCACCGGGUUUGGAAAGCACCUUAACUGAAUCAUGUAAGCAUCAGGACAUAAGCAGCACUUUGUGGUCAAAUGUGGAAGCCGGAGACUUCAAAGCACCUCUGGGACCCACUGGUUGAAGUUUGCAAUAGAAACUUAAGUUUUCCCAAAUCCAUAAAGCCUUAGCCCUGGUUCUCAAUAGAAUCAGGGACCUAGCAGGAAAUGAUUUUACUCAACCUAAAAUGCUGGAUCCCAGGCCCGUGUAGCUAUAAGAAUUCUGGCCUGGAUCCCAGGUGUACAACUAUGGACAAGAUAUGGGCCUCUACUUUCUCCUCUAUAAAAUGAGGCUGGAUGAAAUGUCAGCUAGGGCCAUUUUGGCUGCUGAGGCUCUGGGAUUUGGUUUAGUUACUGAAUGUUAGAUUUUCUGCCUAGAAAGAUAACUAUCUAGAUACAAGUGGUUGGAUCCUGUUUUUGUUUGUGGUACAUGUGUCUUUCCAAGAGAGAUGUGUCACCAAUUAGCCCUGCCUUUAAAGAAACUAUUAUGUGUAUUCCUGGGACUCACUGACACCAAUUUUCUUUUUAUAGUGAUGGUUCAAUUUUGAAAAGAUGGCUUUUGUGAGGCCAGGUUAAGGUGACCAGGAUCUUGUAUGAUGAAUUCCUUCCAUCCCUGAGACUCUGGUACUAUAUUGUAAACCUGGCUACAGUAGUUAAUUACUUGAGAUUCUUUAAUUUUGGUCUCUGAGCUGGGCGUGGUGGUUCAUGCCUGUAAUCCCAGCACUUUGGGAGGCCAAGGUGUGCGGAUCACAAGGUCAGGAGUUCGAGACCCGCCUGGCCAAGAUGGUGAAACCCCAUCUCUACUAAAAAUACAAAAAUUAGCUGGGCGUGGUGGCGGGCUCCUGUAGUCCCAGCUACUCGGGAGGCUGAGGCAGAAGAAUCACGUGAACCCAGGAGGCAGAAGUGGCAGUGAGCCAAGAUCGCACCACUGCACUCCAGCCUGGGCGACAGAGCAAGACUCUGCCUC